rnacentral:rRNA from 1 species
UCCCCUAGUAACUGCGAGUGAAGCGGGAAGAGCUCAAAUUUAAAAUCUGGCAGGUUUCCUGUCCGAGUUGUAAUCUAGAGAAGUGCUAUCCGCGUUGGACCGUGUACAAGUCUCCUGGAAUGGAGCGUCAUAGAGGGUGAGAAUCCCGUCUUUGACACGGACUACCAAUGCUUUGUGAUGCGCUCUCAAAGAGUCGAGUUGUUUGGGAAUGCAGCUCAAAAUGGGUGGUAAAUUCCAUCUAAAGCUAAAUAUUGGCGAGAGACCGAUAGCGAACAAGUACCGUGAGGGAAAGAUGAAAAGAACUUUGGAAAGAGAGUUAAACAGUACGUGAAAUUGUUGAAAGGGAAACGCUUGAAGUCAGUCGCGUUGGCUAGGGAUCAACCUGGUUUAAUCACCCGGUGCACUUCUUAGUCUACGGGUCAGCAUCAGUUUUGAUUGAUGGAUAAAGGUUGGGGGAAUGUGGCAUCUCCGGAUGUGUUAUAGCCCUCGAUUGUAUACAUCAGUUGGGACUGAGGAACUCAGCACGCCGAAAGGCCGGGGUAUUACCCACGUACGUGCUUAGGAUGCUGGCAUAAUGGCUUUAAUCGACCCGUCUUGAAACACGGACCAAGGAGUCUAACAUGCCUGCGAGUGUUUGGGUGGAAAACCCGAGCGCGUAAUGAAAGUGAAAGUUGAGAUCUCUGUCGUGGAGAGCAUCGACGCCCGGUCCAGAGCUUUUGUGACGGUGCCGCGGUAGAGCAUGUAUGUUGGGACCCGAAAGAUGGUGAACUAUGCCUGAAUAGGGUGAAGCCAGAGGAAACUCUGGUGGAGGCUCGUAGCGA